GGACCUCCUCCCCCCGACCCCCUCACCACCCCCUUCCCAUCAAUUUACAAGUCUAAGAGUCAUAAGGAUCCUUCGAGAGAGAUUUGUAGUGAACGUGACAACAUUUCCCAGAAUACCAACUGGAUUUGUUCCCUGCAUGCUCAGCCAGGGGAGAAUGGAGGUCAUGCCAUUGAUUCACAUUCCACACUUUCUGCAGGGGAGGAGGAAGGAGUCAGAGAAUGUGCCAUCCACAGAUCCUGUGUCACCUCAGCAAGAUGGGGGUGGAGCUCGAGAAGGGUUCAGAAGAAUAGGAAAUAAAACUAGGGAUGAGUAGAAGGUCAAAGAAGUGGGGGGAAGGAGAGAAAUAAAGGGGAAAGGAGAAAAGAAGAAGAAAAACAAGGAGAGAAGGUAAUACUGUCUAUAGUCAUCACUUCCUAAAUUCAAUGUCGGACACUAUCGUAAGCAUUUCAAAAGUUCCUGACCAAGUUGUCAAGAUAGUAAUAAAACAUCUUUACCCUGAACUGUUGAA